AUCGGAGCUGUAGCCACCGGCCUGCACCACAGCCACAGCAACUUGGGAUCCGAGCGGCAUCUGCAGCCUACACCGCUGCUCACACAACACCGGAUCCUUAACCCACUGAGCAGGGCCAGGGAUCAAACCUGCAUCCUCAUGGAUGCCAGUCGCAUUUGUUAACCGCUGAGCCACGACAAGAACUCCCCAUUGCAUCUUUGAAUGUGGAGUGUGUCUCUUUAUAUAGCUUUUCACUUGUCUUAAUGUUUUCUCAGCAACCAAAAGUAGUGCUUUGGGGAUAAUGCACCCCUCUGCCCUGGAGCAGACGGCUCCGCAGGGCAGGUCUGGCCGAGCUGAGCUGUGCCGCGCCAGGUGCCUGUGAGGGAUGCGUAAGGUCCUCUGUCUCCUUAGCAGACACAGCGUGGGCUUUGCUGCGCCCUCCUGCCUGUCUCGCCGGGCGGCCGGCCCGCAGGUGUGCAGUGAGUGGCCAGGCCACCAGGGGGCAGCAGCGGGGCAGGCCCGGGGCAGCUGCCCGCAGUCGGUUCUCACCCGGGCACCUGCUCCUGAGCGUGGACAGGGCCGGGGGCUGUGCGGGGGGCUGGACUGAAGCUGGCCUUGAAGUAUCACCCUGACAAGAACCCCGAUAACCCGGAGGCGGCAGACAAGUUCAAGGAGAUCAACAACGCCCACGCCAUCCUGACCGACGCCACCAAGAGGAACAUUUACGACAAGUACGGCUCGCUGGGUCUCUACGUGGCCGAGCAGUUCGGGGAGGAGAACGUCAACACCUACUUCGUGCUGUCCAGCUGGUGGGCCAAGGUGAGCGCCGGAGCUGGGCGGCCCCUGCCGGGUGCGCUCGGGUCCCUGUGGUGGGACAGCAGAUGGCCCUCUUGCGGGCGCGGCUCGUUUCUGCCCUUGUUCACAGAGCCGGGCGGGGCAGCUUGCGCCCUACGGUUUUAGACCUUUGCUUGUCUUUGCUUCCUGGUUUUGCUCCAAAUGCUGGUGCCUCUGGGGCACCUCCCCUCGGACCGUCCGCCUGCCCUGCCUGAGUGGAAGGGAGCCCCGUGGGCCCAGGCCCUCUGCAGCUCCGGGGGGCCCACCGCCCAGCCCGCUCCCUCCCCGCAGGCGCUCUUCGUCUUCUGCGGGCUCCUGACCUGCUGCUACUGCUGCUGCUGCCUGUGCUGCUGCUUCAACUGCUGCUGCGGCCGGUGCAAGCCCAAGGCCCCUGACGGCGAGGAGACCGAGUUCUACGUGUCCCCCGAGGACCUGGAGGCGCAGCUGCAGUCCGACGAGCGGGGUGAGCGCCCGCCCUUGUCCGCCGCGCGAUGCGGGGCCAGGGCGGGCCCUGAACGUGUCGCCCUGUCUCGUCAAACAGGAGGGCACUGACACUGUGCGGGAGUGUUGGUGGUGGCGGCGGGACUGUUGUGUGAACGCGGACGCUGGAGGUAACAGCAGCGCAGAGGGCGGUCCCCAUGGCGGACUGCGGGGCCACAGCGCCAGGGACCGAGUAGGUGGGGCGGGGUCGGGGGUGCAGGUCACGGUGGCCUCUCCCCGCUGAGCGCUUGUCCUACGACCUCGGACCCCAGUGGAGCCGCCAGGCGCCAAAGGCGCCGCCAGAAGCGGGUCUCGGGCCACGGGGCGCGGUGCAGCCUGCGGGCCCGCCCUCACGCCGGCGCCUGUGCUUUGCUUGCAGAGGCCGCAGACGCUCCGAUCGCCGUCCAGCCGGCCUCGGCCACGGAGACCACCCAGCUCACGGCCGACUCGCACCCCAGCUACCACACCGACGGGUUCAACUAAGUUCAGGAGGAGCUGCAACGAGAGGGUCAGCGCCCGGCCGGCCGCUCAACCUUAGAAUCAUGAACUGUAGUCACAGAGCUGGCGCGGGAGCCGCUCCGGCCACGGGAAGGGCAGCGCCCGCCCGCCCGCCUCUGUGCCCGCCCGCCAUCCGUCGAUCCCGACCCACGAAGCGCGUAGCAUGCAGUAUUUAAAGCAGUUUAGCUACGGUCUUCUGUUGUUCCUUUCUUUGACAGCAUGUAUGGGUUCUGUUCCAUGUCCGUCUGUGUUGUGGGCGUGUUGCAGCCAGGCCGUGUUCACCCGGCGGGGCGGGGGCAGGGGGGCGCCUCAGGGCUUUCAGUCCGGUCUGUGCCCUGGGUGGAUGGCCCGCGUGGCGCCUCGCGGCCAGGCGGGCCCAGACAGGCUGGGAGCUGUGGGGUCUGCCCGGUGCCCUCUGUGCACGACCGUGUGGCCGCAGGCAGGGCCGUUGGACUCAGGCGCCUGGCGGGAGCUGGGCCCAGCCGCCCGGCGUGGCCCUUCCGUGGUGUUGGUCCCGAGGACAGUCUGUGCGGCCUCUUCGCCUUGUGGGCUCGGCCUGGCAGCGGGCGUUCCCCGUGUGCGGCUGUGGCGGUCGCUGCAGGAGGCUCUGCUGACCACAGUCUUGCCGUGUCGGACCUGAGGCCGGUCCCCGCCCCCUCACCAGGCGUGGGAACGGUCCCGCACUUGCCCAGGCCACGGGCCGGAUGGACAGGGCCCCCUCCCGCAGCCCCGCUCCCCCCGCCCGCACCUUGUCUUCGCCCACAUCUCUGCAGGACCCCCUGGCCCUUUCGGGACCCCCUCAGCAUCGCAGAUGGCAGCAGUGGCCCGGGCCUCGGGAGUCGGGGGCUGAGAGUCCUGGCUGCCGGUGGCGAGCGGCCGUACAGCCCUCCCCUGUGCCACCCAGAGCGCCCAGCCGCCCCCUUCCUUCGCAUGGUCCCUUUGGCUGGUGUUGAUGGCUCGGGUAGAGCUAGAGGCAUCGGACUCAGAGGAAGGACCAGCUGGACCAAAGGCGCACUCUGGGUAGAGGGGUGGGUUCCAGGAGGCCCUGGGCCCUUCAGCGUGUUUGCCCGCGGCCAGGCCACGGAAGCCCUGGGAGGGCGCUCCUGCCUGGCCUGUGCGUGGCACUGCCGGGUUUCUGCAGAACGAGCCGAGGGAACAGCCAGUGGGAAGGACGGGGUGGGGGCCGCACGCAGGGAGGUCAGACGCACCUGAAGUCACUGGCGGCAUCGGCAGCGUCCCCUGUUCCCCCUCCCCCCCGCCCCCCCGCCGCCAUGGCCCGAGCACUCCAGGAGCCGUGCUGGGGGAGGCCCCGUUUUGUUGGGGGUUUUGUGCGGGAGGAUGAUCACGGAGGUGUCCAGUGAGGGAGGUGCGCCCUGAUACUGAGCUAGAAGGGCCCCGGGCUUGGGCUGCUGGGAGGGUUAGGAAAUGCACUGUCUCACCGCCCAGGACGGGGAGGAGGCCCCAUGCAGGGCGGUCUUCACUGCCAGUUCCCGUCCAGCAGCAGGAGUCCAGCCCGAGGGGGAGGCAGCCAGUCUUCCUGCUGUCUCUGGAAAUAACUAGGAAGUGAGUUGUUUGCCCCGAACGGCCAAGAACCCAGCUCAAAGCUUCGGGCAGGAAGCCGCCCCUGCACCGUGUCUGUGCUCUUGCUUUGUGUCCAGAAGCACUGAGGCCCGUGGCACACGCCAGUGGUCCCCUGCCGGGGGUCUUUCGGUUCUAGAAUCUUACGGAUCGUCUCCUAGAAACAUGACGCUCCCUGGAGGCCCGGGUGGCGUGGGAAGGAGGGGCAGGUCUGGGUCGAACCCGUCCCCUGUGGGGUUUGUAAAAAUGAGAUAAGUGGUGAGUGAUGACAGCAGCCCUCAAGCCGAUGCUGAUGCUGCCCCGAGGCCCAGGCCCCCGGGAGCUGAGCCCGGGUCUGGACCACCCCCCGCCUGACCCAACCCGAAGCGUGUCCUCUCUGGGGUCCGGGGCAGAAGCCUUUCCCAGGGGUCUACUGUCCACACUCGCAGGCCGCCUCCUGGCUGGAGACCAAGGUCCCCGGGUGCCCUUUGCCCGCGUGGUUGUCUGUUCUCUGGGGAGCAGUGUCGUGUCUGGAGGGGUGCAGCCGCGCCUGUGCUCGGCAAGGACAGCUCUCUGCCUGUCGUGGUGGGGACAGGCGUGCUGUGGGCCUCACGCUAGGUGGCCCGCCGUGGCCAGGGCUGGGGGACCCGAGGGUGGGUGGGGACAGGGCUGUGCACGUCUCUGUUUGUGCGUGGUGACUGGUUCCCGGGUCUUCGGGCCUUACCCUGCUUCCCGCUGCUUUCGCUGUGAGCCCUCCCGCUUCUCUGGUCAGUCGAGUGGGACCGCUGGGCAAAGCCUGGGCGCGCUGGGCGGGGCGGGCGGCGUGUCCACACCGCUGGCCGGGGAGCCCGUCCGGGGCGGCCUGGUCAGCAUCUGGAGGGAGUGCGCCCGGGAGAGCCCUGCCUGUCCUGGCUCAGUGCGUGCGCCCGGGGGGCAGCUUGGAGGCUGUGGCAACGGGCCUGAUCGCAUUCCUCUGGCGGCUUCUGAGCUGUGAACUCUGUGACCCGGGACUCACCUGUUGCGCUCCUCCUCCUGUGGAAUUGGCAGCCAGCUCCGUUUCCUCCUGUCGUUUCAAGCACGGUUGGCGUCGUCUGCUGUAGGUGUGGGCGUAGUGUGGGUGUAGUGUGUGUACAUAUGUGUAUAUGUAUAUAUCACGCAGCAGGCGUGACUGCUGCUGUCCAGUGGCGAAGCAACAAGUACAAUAAAAAUCGGCUCCAAAUUGGCCUCUGGUUUCUUGACGAGUCGCGGUGGGAGCCGGGCCUCAGUGUCUGGUGUCUUGCUCCUUGCGCGGAAGGCGGCACCGACCCCGCUGUGCGCCCGGAGCCGGUGCCUGCCCCCUGCGAGUCCAGGGCGGGGGCAGGACCACCCAGGCGGCGACUGGGCAAGCGCUGCCCAUCCCUCCCUGGGCCCCGUUGCUCUCCUGACCCAGAGGUGGGUGGCACGGCCCUGUGACACUCAGGUGGCUGGAAACCCUCCCUCUCUUUAAACAUGAAAACCAGUUUAUGCACCAGAUGGAGUCUGACAGCUGUGCUCAGAGGGCCCCUGUCCUGCCCACAGACCCACCCUGCGGGUUCCUGAGGAAGACGGGGCCACACCGCCACCCUCCAGGAGGGGGCUGGCCGCGGCGCGUCUCUGGAAAAUGGGGUGAUGUGGCGGGGGAGGCAGUUUACACUGAAACGUUCCCGACGUGGUGAGAAGCUCUGUGCGGGUGUGGGAACCGUUGUGGUCCCCGUGCUGCUCUCGUCCUCCUGGGGCCUGACCUCUGCCCUGGCGCCUGUGCACACCGGGGGCCAGUCUCUUCUGUCUGAAUGUUGACCUGUGAUAAAGAUAACGUGUAAAAUAAAUGUUUUCACCGCAGUCCAGGUGUAUGUCUUAUUUCCUGAUUCCUGCAUAAUCCCGUUUGAGGGACAGCUGACCUUGGAGGCCCUCCCGAGUUCCCUGGGGGGCAGGGACCCCACCCCCACCUGUCUGGCCGAGUAAGGACACGCCCUCCAUCUUCUGGAGACUGUGCCUGGGCUGGAGGCGGGGCUGAGUGAGCCCUGAGCCACGGGCAGCUUGUCCUGUCGGUUCCGGAGCCUGCCUGGGAUGUGGCUGGCAGGCCAGUGGCCGACAGCCACUGAGUCCCACUGUCCCCACCUCUCCACCUGGCUGACCUUCCUCCUGCCCACGCCUCUGGGCGCCGUCCCUGCCGCCCUCAAUGGCGGCGCCCUGCAUCCCCCCUCCUGUUGGCAGUUGUCCGUCCAGACGAGCAGGGCUGCAGCUGCCUGGGCCUGUGGCCGGCUGGCAGCGUGGCAUUGGGAAGGGGACACCUGGCCAGCUUCUCUGCCCCUCGGGCAGCCCUGUCCACCGUUCAGGAGCAUGUGUUCCAGGCUGUCCCCCUGCCUGCUCCACCCAGGGCAUCUGGAGCGUGCUCGGAUCUUCCUGCCUGGAUUCUGCUGUCCCAGCUUCCUGGGUCAUGUCCAAGCUCGGGUUUCCCAGCACCGCGCUGGCAUCUCCCAGGCAGGGCCGGUCCUCCCCGCUGGCCCCCAGAGGGGUCGGAGAUUCCUCCUCCGCCCGCUUGAUGGCAGGGAGCUGUCUGGGCCCGGUACUCCUGUUCACAGUGUCUGCCAGACUCCAGUGGCUUGCCUUUGUGCCUCUGUACCUC
rnacentral:lncRNA from 1 species